rnacentral:tRNA from 1 species
AUGUAGCUUAACUUAAAAGCAAGGCGCUGAAAAUGCCUAGAUGGGCUCAUGGCCCCAUAAACA